UCCUCCUUAGCUCAUCUGGGAGAGCGUAGCACUGAAGAUGCUAAGGCACCGCGUUCGAUCCGCGGAGGGGGCA
rfam:Gonapodya prolifera JEL478 unplaced genomic scaffold M427scaffold_116, whole genome shotgun sequence.